UUCCUUCAUAUAUUUUUUUGUAAUGAAGCUGCAUUUCAAUGAUGACAAAGAAGCCAUCUAACGAUUUGCCAUCUUUGAAAAAUUAUCCCAGCCCCCCUGUCUGCCCUGAGCGUGACGUGCAUGCUGGCUGUUCAGCUGGCGCUCCCACUGCUCUGAACUCCCCUUGCCCUUGGUGCCUAAGAAGAGAAAUGGUUUGCCACACUCAUUGACAGGAUAAGGACAACACUGGGACACUUUAUGACAAAAAGAGCCCAGGCCACGCGUGAUGGGCCAGCGUCACACUCUGAUCACGUGAAGUUCUGUACCACAAGUACCUGAUCUAGAUACAUGAUGCUCACACGACAUCUCACAACAUCCAGGCGAGGGUGGUGGCUUCUUUCUCACUGCAUCGUGGAGCAACAUUUCAUGAGCUGCAUGGGGCCACAGAUACAAAAAAUUCCUGGGAAAACCCAGAGUGAAGAGAUUCUCAUCAAAACAACUAUUUACAGCCUGGAAUCUGAAGACAGGUGGCCUAGGUUCAAAUCUCAGCUCUACCCUGUCCCAGCUUGGCCACCCAGCAAAGAUGCCUGAUCCACCCCAACCCCGGGCCAGCCUGCUGCCUCCUCCAGCACAGCCCCAAUGACCAGCCUGUGCUCACGCCAGGGCCCCCUGGACAGCCCUGUCCGUCAUCUAACCUCCGGGAGCCUGGCCCGCCUCCUCCAGCCCCACCGCCGCCCCACGCAUCUGAUUCUGCUGAGUUUGAGUCUCUUGGAUCUCGCAGCCUCACACACCUGACUUCAGAGCAGGGAGGCCUUCCAAAGAGUGGCCCCCCUGCGUAACAGCUUGCACAGAACAUGAAAGGAACUCAGGUCACAGCCACAUCCCCUCUGCAACUUCCCCUUUGGGCGCCGCCAUCCCCUGACUCCCUCCUGCCCCAGAUGCCUGCUGAUCCCCAGGCAGGCGCUUCCUGCCCUCCUUCCCUGGCCCGGCCUCUGAGCCUUGCCAGCCUGGAGGAGCGGCCGCAGACACCUGCCAGGCCCCAGGUCUACUGGACCUGGCCCCCUAUGGUCCCGGCGGUGCCCCUCCCUCUGCGGGGGGCUCUCUGGAAAUUGUGUUUCUACCACAGCAAGAGAAAUCCUCAUGGAUAGUUUCUAGUAAAAAAAAAGAAAAGCUCACCUCAUUA